rnacentral:rRNA from 1 species
UGGGGAAUUUUGGACAAUGGGCGAAAGCCUGAUCCAGCAAUGCCGCGUGUGUGAAGAAGGCCUUCGGGUUGUAAAGCACUUUUGUCCGGAAAGAAAUCCUUGGCUCUAAUACAGUCGGGGGAUGACGGUACCGGAAGAAUAAGCACCGGCUAACUACGUGCCAGCAGCCGCGGUAAUACGUAGGGUGCAAGCGUUAAUCGGAAUUACUGGGCGUAAAGCGUGCGCAGGCGGUUUGCUAAGACCGAUGUGAAAUCCCCGGGCUCAACCUGGGAACUGCAUUGGUGACUGGCAGGCUAGAGUAUGGCAGAGGGGGGUAGAAUUCCACGUGUAGCAGUGAAAUGCGUAGAGAUGUGGAGGAAUACCGAUGGCGAAGGCAGCCCCCUGGGCAAUACUGACGCUCAUGCACGAAAGCGUGGGGAGCAAACAGGAUUAGAUACCCUGGUAGUCCACGCCCUAAAACGAUGUCAACUAGUUGUUGGGGAUUCAUUUCCUUAGUAACGUAGCUAACGCGUGAAGUUGACCGCCUGGGGAGUACGGUCGCAAGAUUAAAACUCAAAUGAAUUGACGGGGUCAUA